GUAGUACUCCCUCCGUCUUAAAAUUUUUGUCUUAGCCUUGUCUAAAAAUGGAUGUAUCUAAGUACUAAAUUUUACUAGAUACAUUCGUAUCUAAACAAAUAUCAGACAAGAAUUUUGGGACGGAGGGAGUAGUAU
rnacentral:pre_miRNA from 1 species